rnacentral:tRNA from 1 species
GGGGAUGUAGCUUAGUGGUAGAGCGCAUGCUUUGCAUGUAUGAGGCCCUGGGUUCAAUCCCUGGCAUCUCCA